ensembl:lncRNA
AUCAUAUUGGUAGAGGUUUUGAGGGCAUAGCCAUUUCCCCCAUAGAUUAAAAGUUUCAUCAGGGCAAGAAUUAUUACCUCUUUCUUUCUUUAUUUUUAUUAUUAUGUUUUUAACCUCCACCUUCUAUCUUCCCUCUAAGUAUCGCUAAGCGCCAUUGAAUCUCAGUCUUCUCUGUUCAUUGAUUGGCUAUUAAAAAUUGAAAACUGUGGGAGCAGCUGGCAGCCUCCUUCCACUAAGGUCUUCCUCCUCAGGUGGUAAACCUGCUCAAUAAGAAUCGCAAUCAGGUUUGCCACAUCUGCCGCAUAGCUGUUGCUCCUUCCACAGGCAAAUAUUUCAGAAACAGGUUCCAUUCCCAGCCAAGGUGGUUGUGUUUCCUACUGUUUUUCUUCCCAAUUGUUUUCAACUUUUACUGGCUUAAAUAAUGAUGCACAUGCAAUCCUGCCCAGAGGAAACCAAAUAUUUUGUUUUUGCUUUCAUACAUUAAGAGAAGGACUACAGUAGAGCCAAAGAGUGCUGGAUGUGAGGCCAGGACGUGGCUUCGGGUCCUGGUCCGCCUCUUACCACUGGGGAGUCACUUUACAUCACUGCUAGGCCUCGAUUUCCUAAUCCAUAAGUGUGGCUUGCCAAGCAGUGCCAUGUCCGCAGCCGGGAUCCGAAGUGGCGAACUCCCAGGCCGCCGAAUUGGAACGUGCGAACUUAGCUGCUGCGCCACAGAGCCGACCCCCUGGAUAAUGUUUUCUUAAGUAAGAGCACAAUUGUGAGGAGUUGAAAAAGGGAAAAGACAUGAAAAGAAGAAAAGGAAAGAGAACUGAGAAGAAAGCAGAUGACUUGUAACCGGUAAUAGUAGACUAAUCCAACAGAAAAGAGGAGAAAACAAAAGAAAAAGAAAUGAGAGAAAGUAAAAGUAAGGACAUAAUAUAAAGCUGAAGAAACUGAAGCGAUCUGCCUUUUGGCUUCCUUUCUCUUUUGCUCAAGCGAGACGCAGAUGGUCUGUCCUAUCUCAGCAGGAAAUCUCUGUCUGGCUGACACCCUGAAUGAUUCAGCUGGAUUCCCUACGUGGGGUGGGGGGAGGAUUUCUUGCCAGGAAGAUGGUAACUAUAAACUCCAU